CAAAACUUUCAACAACGGAUCUCUUGGCUCUGGCAUCGAUGAAGAACGCAGCGAAACGCGAUAAGUAAUGUGAAUUGCAGAAUCCAGUGAAUCAUCGAAUCUUUGAACGCACAUUGCGCCCGCCAGCAUUCUGGCGGGCAUGCCUGUUCGAGC
rnacentral:rRNA from 2 species